UCUUUGUGGAAAAUCUCAACGAGAGCAUUUCUGCGUGGUUACACCGCUGACCCAUCUCAUCCCUCAGUGGGCACGGGGAUUUGUUCCAGGCCCAGCUCGGGACCCUACCAAGACCUUGGAGAUCCAUGCAGAAACACUGCUCUCUCUCCUGGGCAGACCCUGCAGUAGUGAAGGAUCAGUCCAUAGUCCUUGGGAGUGAUUUCAAAGGGGGCUCGUGUGAUGAGAUGUCAAAUUAGCCUACUGGGGACUGUGCCCAUUGGGGAUGACGAUCCAGGGAAGUGUUCUUGCCACCCCCAUUAGCUAUCUCCCUUUUUACUCUCAGCCUCGCUGGGGCAAAAGUCCUGAAGGGGUUGAUGCAUAGCUAUGGGCUGGUUGUGCUUCUGGUAUGAGGAAGAUUUUCUCCCUAAGCCUGGCCUGCUUUGCCUGCAGAGGGUUUGUUUAUAAUGGAGAGCUGAUGUGUAUGAGCUAAAAACAGUAGGGACAAGGCCAUUUUCUUUUGCUGCCAUAUAAAUCUGACAAAGAUUCUUGCUCCUCUCUCAUCUGGGCAAACCUCACCCAGUUUUAUCACCACUCAAAUACAAGUGCUUUGUCUUCACUGUGUUUUUGGCUCAGGUACAUCAUCCACUCUAGUUACCCUGAGGCUAAGAAACAAAAGAUUCCCCGCGCCAUUAUUCCACAGCUCUACACCAGUGAAGGAAAUGUUUGGAAGCGUUUGCUCUUCUGGGUCAAGAAGCUAAGCUCUGAAUAAGGGUUCUGCUGGCCGCACCAGCCUAGAGGGAGGUGGAGGAAGGUUUGUGUGCCUCUUAGCUCAGCAAGGAGGAGAAGGGCUGUCCAUGCUCCCAUCUCAAAGAGAUGCUGUGCCAUUUAGUAGCAAUGAAUCGCCCCUUUCCAAGGGAAAGCAAAGAUUAGGGAAAGGGAACACAGAUACUGAGACCAACUGUUAUAGAACAUCAAUUUUUUGUCUCUAUAGUUAGGAAAGAAGAUCAGGUGGGUUAGGUAGAAGUCUGUCUGUCCUUCUAGGAAAAAGGACUAAACUGAACCUCUGUAAUGUGCAGUGGAAAAACUUCCAGAGAAAUGUGGCAAGCUAGAUUUUAAAGGAAAGCUGUCUUGUAAGGAAGAGCAAUAAAGAGAGCCACCACCUUGAACUGUGAAAGGAUGAGAUAGGUCACUUGCGAGGAUAUGCUGGGCAUUUGCCAUUCUUGUUACUGUUGAUAUCAAAACUGAUAAAUGUUCCUGCUGCCCAACAGUGACCUGCUAACAGCAGCCUUCUCCCUCUUGGACAAAAGCUUUCUUCUUGACCAGUUGCUAGUGACCAUGCACAAAUGAUAUGCCUGACCUUCAUGCAAUGUUUGAGCCCACAGACGCCAGCUCACAUGGUGUAGAUAUGAUGUAGUAGCAAAGGAGGUUGUCAUCCUGCCAAAGAAGGGAACAAGAGGAAGCAAAACACCUCUGAAUGAUGCUGGCUAUCCUAUCCAGAGGGAACCUGUGGUCGCCUAUAGAAGGUUAUGCUCUAGGAAGGCUCCUUGAUUAUGAGCAGACUCAAUCACUCAGACUUUGUUUUAGCAAGCAAGAAACUAAUUCUGUGUGGCCAAGCACAUCUUGAUGCACAACAUAAUAUAUAAAGAAGCAUCUCACCUUAGUACCUCUUUUCUGCUGUUAUUUAAUUCUUUAUGUCAUGGGUAUCAGAAUCUUUUUUGUUUUUUUUUUCUUUUUUUUCUUUUACCCAAGGUGCUUGAAAAAAUGGGGUAACAAUAGGAAGUAAACAAGUUAAGAACAAUGUGGUCAAUGUAGCUUGGAAAAUAAUUUCUCUCUGGGUCCUGGUAUCUGUCUGGAAAUCCAUCUCUUGCCAAACAUUUUUGAUGACAGGUGCUUGUGCUUUUGCAUCAUUGUGCUUGUUUGAGUAUGGCUCAGAUAAGUUUGAGGAGUCUUCAGUCUGUUUCCCACUGCUGGAGCUGAGCAUCUGUUUUCCGCAUACUUCUGCGCUAAUUAAAUGAUAUACAGUAAUGAAGAUGAACCAGAGGCAGGCCAGAGAUCCCAUAAAAGCAUUUCACUCUUCUCUAUUCUCUUUGCCUGAAGUCAAGUCAUACGUAGUACUUUCCAGACAGUAACUCCCUAGCUCCUGUCAAGACUUUUUCAAUACAGUUAAGUAUUCUUUCAGGUUUAUUUGUUUUCCUCUUUCUUAUCUUUCUGUUUGCAGCAUAACAUUUAUAAAUAUAUAUGUAUAUGUGUACAUAUAUUUUAUCUUGCAAUUCCAUCUCUGGAAGAGAAAACAUCAUUCUUUCAUCAAAGGAGAAAUUCACCCACUGACCUGGAGGUAAUUUGAAUAAUGAACUAAGCUAGUUUUUGAUGUUUGUGUAAACAGCACAGAAGUGUCAGAUUCUGUUCUCCUUGUAUCUGACAUGAUAGAUGUGAGAUCAAAGACUGCCUUCAGUAACGGCAGCAUGUCAGACUUGCAUUAUUGAGGGAAAUGUUCCUAGAGCUAUCAGCUCAUUGCUGUCAUAUGAAAGCCAAUUGAUAUUUUCACUGUAUCUCCCUCAAUGUGGAAGGGGAGGUGAAGGUCAACGCAAUAAGUUCCUGCGCUGAUUUCUCCUUUCAGGAAUCAAAUUUGUCAUUGUCUAUCAAUGAAAUUAAUUUGCUUGUCUGAAUGCAUGAAGGAUGAAGCAAGACUUUAAAGCGGGUCUGUACAGAAUCCUGUGCCUGUGUCUGAUUGGGGAUCUCCAGAGCUGGAGUUUAGGGAUAACAGAGGGAGUGAGGAGUCUGUUGGCUCAAGAAUGAGAAGGAGGAGUUAUAAGUUAGGUGAAUAGUGAAGAGAAGGUUAGGAUACCCUGCCACUAAGGCAACUGUACUGCUAUUGAGUCAAUUACUGCAGGAAUUUUCCCUCUAAGUGCUUGACUGACAGAUAAUAGUAAAGGAAAGGAAUAGGUUUUCUGGCUUUGCAUUCUCACAAGGAGAUGUAUAGGAGUCCUGGUGGAUGAUCCUCAGGUUGGAAAUGCUAAUGAUGCAGCCUGCUCCUUCACUGAAGAGUAGCAGUGCUUUGCUUAGUCAGAAUGAACAUUUUUCUCUUGAGGAAAACAAAGAAAAGAAGUUUGAAAGACUGCCCACCAGAUGUGGGCAGGGUAGCCUUCAGAGCUGGAAAGUCUUCAGGAUUUCCUCCAUGUACAGGUGUUGGUUCUGAUGUUUUACUGCUGCCUUUGAGCAGUGUGAGGGAACUGGCAAACAUGACCAGUAUUUUCCUUGUCUCCGCAAGUGAAAAUGCAGUGGGCAUCCGACACAUGCAUUUACUCAAAACCAUGCUGCUGACUUGUUCUUUCCUUGGAUCAUCCAUCAUGGUCAGGUAGGACAUUAACUUCUACAGCACCUUGUUCAGGGGACCACAACAGGGAACACACCUGAUUUACUUGAAAAACAGCCCAUCACUUCUGAUAUUUGAAAUCAGAAACCAAGAGUUAGCUGGGUGUAUGGAUUUUGCUGGUAUUAUGGUCUUCUGUGGCAGCCAAUUAACAGCAAGCACUAAGAUUGGCAAAGUGAAUAUAUAUCAAAGAGGACUGAGUGACUUUUAUUGAACCUGACUGUUGAUACAGAAUCUUAAUGGUCCCAAUGUUUUCUGAUCACCCUUGCUGCAUAUGCUUGAGCCAUUGCAGGCACAGAGGAAGAGGGUCAGGACUUGGCAGCGGAUAUCUAGCAAGAAAGGGCAUGGCAAGAAUGGGAAAGCUGUGGAAGCUGGAGGCCAGCACGGAUGUAAUAGGUGAGAACAGCAGUGAGAACUGACAUAGAGCAAAAUAUCUCAGAAGAGCAUAACUAGAAGAGCAUUACCAGAAAGACCUGUCAAAAUAGAUGUAAAAUCAGGAGACUAGCAGAAAUCACAAGAAUGAGCAGGACCACACACACACAACUUCUGAUGAUGGCUGAACAUAGUCGUCCACCCCAAGUGGUGCUGGAGGACCACAAAGCCCAAGAAAUGAGGGGUCUCCACAGUGAUAGGACCUGGAAUUUUUCUCCAGUGGGAGAAACAGCUGCCAAACUCAGCAAGCUUUGUUUGUCGGUGGAAGCUGAUGUGGCUGCUCUGUAACGAAAUACAGAUACAAUUUCUUUAGGAACCUAGCAGGCAAGACUGGAGCAAAGACGUGGGGGAAGAAUAGAGACCUGUAACAUAGGCCCACCUCAUCUCUUCUGUCUGCUAGAAUCCUCUGAUACGCAAUGUAUUUUCAUGUCUCAGGAGUGUACUAUCUCUAUUUGCACCUUUUAAAGUCCUGCAUAGUAGCACAAAGGGAAUGGCAAAAGGAAGUUGUAGGAGUCAAGAGAACUGUGCUAUGGAAGGAAGAGAUCCUCAUCAGUAUUUCUGCCAUCAAUUCUUUGGGGAGUUAUAAAAAAGAAAAUCCCAAAGCCCAAACCCUACACUAAAUUUGCACUUGUUCUCUCAGGCCGGCAGCCUAGAAGUUCAUAAACUCAGAAUGACCUUGUUCUGGAAUAAACUGUCCUGAAAACAGUUUGCAAUGGCUUCACCGAGUUUGCUUUGCUGGUGGCAGCCCUUCGGCUCCAAGCUGGCAUGUGUAUGAAGCUCUUUGAACAAGUUUUGACCUUCCUUUAGCCCCUCUGCCCAUCAAGCCAGGUAAUGACAUGCUUCGUAUUGCACAGAACACAUACAAUUGACAAGUUCAUAGUGGUGUUUAAAUAUUAAACAAUCUAGACAGGCUUUUGAGUCUUCUGCCGCUAUGAAAAGGCUCAGACCAUACCCAUCUUUGAAAUCGGGCUGCGGGAUCAUUUGCACAGUAAGACAGACAAUAAGACUUGUAUACAUUGCCAUGCAACAGAAGAGACCCCGAACCGCCAGCCCUAAGUGGAAAGUUUAUUUCUAAGCACAAUAUAUGGAAAAACCAAACCAACAAACCCCACAGAUAUAGAAAACGUUGUAGCAAAUCCCUGGUCAAGUAGGACUUCAUGUUGGUCACUACCCUGCACCUCACAGCUGCUUAAAAUGUCAUGCAAUGGAGGAGAGGGCACUCAGACGACACCCUCUGCUUCGGAUCAAGGAGGAUCUCCAAGCAGGAGAGGGCCCGUGGGACUCCUGCUGAGCGAUUCAGGCUGUAACCAGCAAAAGGGCAGUGCUGCUCACCCCCAACUACGCGCCUCGGGACUACCUGUGGCACGCACGCGCACGUGACUUAGCACUUCAGCAGGCUUUACGAACGUGGAUUCUCACAACACCCCUGUGAGGUAGGUACGUAUUGUUAUUCCCCCGUUGUGUGGGUGGGGGACUGAGCCAAACAGCCCAAGGCUACAGAGUCGGUGGCAGAGCUGGAGCAAGAGUAUGCAGAGUCCUGUGUGAUCAGAUCACUAGGUCACACCACUCCUUCACGGCAGUUGUGCUUCUGACUUUAUAAACUUUUAGCCUUUUGCCAAAUUAAAGGAAUUUGACUUCUCCAUAUUAAACAAGUGGAGGACAGGGAGGGAAACAACAUUACGUCUGACAGCCUUCUCUUCAUUGGUGUAUGCCUCCCCCUUCCCAAAACCACCGCAAUUACCUGUCUCUGGGAAUGAGCACAGUUUCCAGGACAGGCAUGGGGGUGAGAGGCUGUUAAGUUUGCUUCCUUUGACCAGGUUUCUCUCUACUGUGGAUCAGAAGUGGUUCUUCCAGAGACCCUUCACUGCAACACUUUCAGUCUACGGGUAGCUGCUUUUACAGAUGAUCAGAAUUGCCCCUUCCCUCUCCCUUCUCCCACCAACAUCUCUUCCCUCACCUCAGCCAAAAGCACUCUUUGGUAGAUAAUAAAUAAAGUUGGUCAGAUAGAGGUACAGUGGCCUCAGAAACCGCGCUGUUCACAUUGGUCCUCAGUAAGUCAGCUUUCUUGGCUGGUGUUUCACCUCCCACACUUUCUGCCAGAGAAGUACCUGUUCUGUUGCAUUCUGAUAUUCAAAGGGACACUGUCAAGUAAUCUAGAUGAAAAAAAUGACCUCCCUUAAGAUGUUAACCUCCAUCUUCAACAUUGCAGAAUGGCUGGUACGUUCAAACCUGGAGGUUAAAGUUUGAGACCUUCCCCAGUCCAGAAACACCUGGCCCAUGACAGCCUAGCUGCCGAAGGAGCCGGUGACUUGCAUUUGCCAUGGCUCCAGUAAAAGCUGUGAGAGGUGCUGGUACAACGACGAAGGGCAGUCAGACACAGCCAUUGUGCAACGUUGCUCAGCGCUUCUGCAGAACAGAUGCAGCUUGGCUGAAGUCCUUAUAGUAAUUUUGGGGAGGGCUGGAUCCAGGCUUGAUUGCUGCAGGCUCAUUGUUUUGGGAUUGCUGAACUGUUGCUCCUCAAUUAGCUGAUCUCUGUAUUUCUAGGUUUCCUACUCUUACACUUGAUUUGUGGCAAACCGGCUCAACCCCGUAGAGCUGGGAGUUACCCUCCAUGGAGUGAGGACAGUGAGCAGGAAAUCAGUAACAUGGAUUUCUUCCUGUUGCAGAUGAAAGGUGGAGAGAAGGACAGGGAUGGUGAAAGGAAUGGGGUGAGUAGAAAGAACGCUACAUGCCCAAAUGGAAAAGAACAAUAUCAGUAGGGAAAGAAAUUUUAUUUUCAAGAUUGUAAGAGAAUAUUACAAACAAUGGAGAGUAAAAAAAGCCCAAACCCUAAAAACUAUUUAAAAAGUACUUGACAGUGUCCCUUUAAUAUCCACAAAUGAUUCAGACAUUGUGCAUUGAAAGAGAAUGUUCCUGAAGAGCAACCAGUACCUUCGUGGAUAUAUCCCAGAGAAGGAGACUUAUUAUAAGUGUUACAUAUUCAAUCGGCAACUGUGCUCCCUCUUCAGACUAACUCUCUGUUGAAUGAUUGAACGGAAUAGACUCUGUAAUAAACAAACUGGAUGUAAAAGGCUCAGCCUACAUGACUGAGUGAGACUGUUACAAAUUGAGCAGCAGGGAUAAAGACACUGGAAAAAAUGUACAUCUUAGAUGUAUGAGUGUCUGAAUCAGCAAAAUAGUAGAAACCCCCGGAGGUGGGUCAGCUUCUUGUGACUGGAGUGAAAUGGAAGGAAAUUAACCUGGGAUGUCUGCAUGGAAAAUGAUGUGCGUGAGUGGGACGAUUUGGAUGCUGGAUUUGGGGUUAUGAAGGCAUAAAUCACACUAGUACUUGUGCUUGAAACACCUGUGGAGAGUUUGUACAAAAUUUGCCAGAAACGCCUAUACGUCGAAUAAAGGUCAUGGAACGCCCUCCCCCCCGCCCAACUCCACCCUCACAAACCCUUUGUCAGGAACGUUAUGAAAAAUCAGGAUUUUUGUUUUGGUGAAAUUUGGGCACACCUGGGUUUUGUUACAUUUUCUUGGCGAGAUGAUUCAAUCUGUAAAUCACUACUGAAACGUUCCCAGCCAUUUCACUUCAGAAAUCCUAUGGUAAAUCAAACAAGGUUCCAUAGUGACUCAUGAACAAAACGACUCAUAGCCCUGGUUAAUCACAGUCUGGAAAAAAACUACUCCAAAUAUUUCAUUCCCUUCCUUGUUUUUGUAAAUCUCACACGUUUGUGUGUGUGUGCGUGUGUGUGACAUUUGGCUGAGGGUGGAUAUUAC